rnacentral:rRNA from 1 species
CAGGGCGGGUGCUAUACUGCAGUCGAGCGGACAGAUGGGAGCUUGCUCCCUGAUGUUAGCGGCGGACGGGUGAGUAACACGUGGGUAACCUGCCUGUAAGACUGGGAUAACUCCGGGAAACCGGGGCUAAUACCGGAUGCUUGAUUGAACCGCAUGGUUCAAUUAUAAAAGGUGGCUUUUAGCUACCACUUACAGAUGGACCCGCGGCGCAUUAGCUAGUUGGUGAGGUAACGGCUCACCAAGGCAACGAUGCGUAGCCGACCUGAGAGGGUGAUCGGCCACACUGGGACUGAGACACGGCCCAGACUCCUACGGGAGGCAGCAGUAGGGAAUCUUCCGCAAUGGACGAAAGUCUGACGGAGCAACGCCGCGUGAGUGAUGAAGGUUUUCGGAUCGUAAAACUCUGUUGUUAGGGAAGAACAAGUACCGUUCGAAUAGGGCGGUACCUUGACGGUACCUAACCAGAAAGCCACGGCUAACUACGUGCCAGCAGCCGCGGUAAUACGUAGGUGGCAAGCGUUGUCCGGAAUUAUUGGGCGUAAAGCGCGCGCAGGCGGUUUCUUAAGUCUGAUGUGAAAGCCCCCGGCUCAACCGGGGAGGGUCAUUGGAAACUGGGGAACUUGAGUGCAGAAGAGGAGAGUGGAAUUCCACGUGUAGCGGUGAAAUGCGUAGAGAUGUGGAGGAACACCAGUGGCGAAGGCGACUCUCUGGUCUGUAACUGACGCUGAGGCGCGAAAGCGUGGGGAGCGAACAGGAUUAGAUACCCUGGUAGUCCACGCCGUAAACGAUGAGUGCUAAGUGUUAGAGGGUUUCCGCCCUUUAGUGCUGCAGCAAACGCAUUAAGCACUCCGCCUGGGGAGUACGGUCGCAAGACUGAAACUCAGGAGAAUUGUGCCGG